rnacentral:lncRNA from 1 species
GUCGUAUCCACAAAUCUCUAUGUGGCCUUAAGCAAACCUCACCAAUGUUACUUGAAACCAUCUUAUGGUCCUCACUCUUGCAGGUUCUGGCCAAUCCUUAGCUGAUCAUAGUCUUGUGAUCAAAAUCUAGAGCAAGGUAUUUAUUAUCAUCCUUAUCUAUGUUGACAUUUUGGUUUCUGGGAAUGACCUAUCUGCCAUCAAUUCCAUCAAACAACACUUGUAAAGGCCUUCAAGAUUAAAGACCUUGCUGACCUCAAGUAUUUUCUUGGGAUUGAGGUUGCUAGGUUUCCUACCGACAACUUUUUUAUUGGGCAGUCUCUUUGAUUCUGGUCAACUAGGCUAUCAUUUUGCAUACUUUCCCAUGGAAUAACACUGUAAACUUAAUAACUUGGAUGGUGACUUCAUGGAAGGAAGAUCCCAGCUCAUAUCGACGAUUAGUUAGGGUUUGAUCUAUUUAACCAUUUUCCAGCCACAUAUAACCUUUGUUGUCAAUAUUUUAAGUCAGUUCGCGCAUGCUCCUUAUGAGCCUCAUCAUCUAGCUGCUCUUUGUAUGCUUUGCUAUUUGAAGACCACUUCUGGUUAUGGUCUUCUCUUUUUAUCUAAAUGCAGUUGUCGUGGCGCUCAUAGAAGAAAGCUACUAUCCCUGCUCUUCGGAUGAAGCUGAAUAGUGUGCGAUGGACGCUACAACUUGGGAACUUUUUUAGGUUUCUCUUCUCUUGCAAGCUCUCAUGGUUCUCCAUCGUUAGCCUAUCUUCUUCAAUUUAUCAACCAGACAGCCAUUCACAUAGCUCGAAAUCCAUCUUUUCCCACACAUGGAAUUCUAUUGUCAUCUCGUCAUGCGAGAAGAUUCAUUAUGGUCUACUUACUCCUUAUAUCUCAACCUCUGAAAGACAAGCGGAUAUUUUUACUAAACCCUUGGGACAUGAAUUGUUUUACCUUUUCCACUCCAAUUUGGGCAUUAUGGACCUUCAUAUUCCAACUUGAAAGAGUUUAUCACGAGUCACAUGCCUAAACUCUAGCGCAAGAUUAGCACAUAUCACGUUCACUGCACGAAUUAAGCAAACUUUCUCCAUGGACAGUUUAAUUUCCUUACGUGCUUUACUUACCAUGUAUUGCUCAAAUUUUCUAUCUACAAAUGUGUACACAAUCCUUGUCAAUCUUACACUGGUGAAUAA